GAUGAAGAACGCAGCAAAAUGCGAUAAGUAAUGUGAAUUGCAGAAUUCAGUGAAUCAUCGAAUCUUUGAACGCACAUUGCGCCCGCCAGUAUUCUGGCGGGCAAGUCUGUUCGAGCGUCAUUUCAACCCUCAAGCACAGCUUGGUGUUGGGACUCGCGUUAAUUCGCGUUCCCCAAAUUGAUUGGCGGUCACGUCGAGCUUCCAUAGCGUAGUAGUAAAACCCUCGUUACUGGUAAUCGUCGCGGCCACGCCGUUAAACCCCAACUUCUGAAUGUUGACCUCGGAUCAGGUAGGAAUACCCGCUGAACUUAAGCAUAUCAAUAAGCGGAGGA
rnacentral:misc_RNA from 1 species